UGGUGUCUUAGUUCAUUGAGCAUCUUCCAGCUCUUCAGUUUCUCUCAUUGGAUUUUAGCAGAAAAGGCACCGCGUCGAGCCUGAAGUUGGCAUGAGUGUGUGGAAAAAGCUGAACUGAAGGAGGAUCCAGGAUUAGCCUCUUUGGGUGCGAGGCAGAUGCUGAAAAAGAGCCGUGACCCAAACCUUACGGAGCAGGUGGAAGAUUGUGAUGUCCUCACAAGAUGGAAGCUCGGCCCAACAGGACCGGCUCCUGCAGGAUGAGGUGUUGUGGUCUCAGACGUCAUCGGGCUGUUGUGAACUUAGACUUCCUCCUCUCACCCAGAUCACAGCUGUAGGCAGACUGAGCCACGAUGGAAGCUUCACUUUACUCCUUCACCCACUCACUCACACACACGGCUGCAACGUGCAGACUCACAGCAGCAGAGAGGGAGAGAGUGUGAGUGAAAGGUCUUGCAGAAAAUC